AGGUGGGCGGGAAUUUGAUUAACGAACGUGACAUGAGUCUUGAAGUGCAGGGAUGCUCUGGCACAAAAGCAUAUCCCGAACAAACAACAUUUCCUGUGAAUUAAGGAAACUAUAUUUCCAUGAAGACAAACAAAUAAACAAACAAACAAACAUCUGAAACCUGAUGACAAAAACAAGCCCUCAUCACACAAGAGGAGCUGAAAAGAACAGGCGAUGCGAGAGAGAGCGUGCUCUAACCCAUCACCAUGGCAACAGUGAAUUUGAAGUCUUUGGUGGAGCAGGCGAUUGUGCAUGUUUGUGUGUGAUGGUGUGUGUGUGUGUGUGUGUGUGUGUGUGUGUGUGUCAGAAGCAGGGUUUUUCUGAGAUUAUAAAAAAGUGUGAGAACUCCACUGACUUGCAAACCUGCAUGAGUGUGAAACGGACGAGGAAUGAACAUUCCUGAGAGAUGACAGACUCCUGACUCAUUUGGCCACAGCAUUUCUGCAGGCUUCAUCCAUCCAACAAGCUCUCAGCACUGCUGAUGCCUCCAAACUGAAGGAUUUAAGAGAAGGGAGGUGAUUUGGCCCCCUUUUUGCCCAAGGAUAAGCUAAUUCCCUCAAGAGUUCUGGUACAUCGCCUGUCCAUCCUGGGGAGGAUCCCUCCUUUAUGUGAACAUCCCUAAGGUCCUGCUUUUUUUUCCCUGAUCUUGGAUUCUGUAAACACUAGUUCUGUUGCUGGUGGGAAUUCUUCACAUUGAUUUUUUUCUUCAAAAAUCUAAACCAGCACGCCACCAUGCAGCCCAACGUAUCCUAACACAUCUGAAAAAAUAUAUGUAUAACAGCAGAAAAAGAGCAUCAGAGCAGUAAUCUAGGCAGACAACUGAUCCCAAAACAGAGUUCUCCUCGUAACCCUUGUGCUAUCCUAGGCACUUUAACAUUGGGAGUUGGGUCAUCUAGACCCACUGACUAGACAGUGCACUGAACCUUUUUUCUUCAAUGAUU